ensembl:lncRNA
CAUUGAAGCAACUGCCAUGUGAUUGGUUGAUUAGAUAAUUGCAUUAAUGAAAAAUUGAACAGGUGUUCCUAAUAAUCCUUUAGUUGAGUGUAGAAAUGAGAAUAUGGACAGUAUAGAAAUCUUGAAUAUUCUAAAUAAAAGAGUUGUGGUGCCUAUAAAUGGGUGCAUUAAAAUGUGCUAAUGUACAUGAAUGUCCAUAGAAAGUGACCAGAGCAUAUGAAGUGUACAUGUGAUCAAUAGGUCAGUGUUGCUGGUUGAGGAGCCUUAUGGCAUUGGGGUAAAAACUGUUUGUGAGUCUGGAAGUGUGUCCUGAUGCUCUGGUAACAUCUACCAGACGGCAGCACUAUGAACAGACCAUAGCCUGGGUAAAGACAGAUUUCAAUUGGACAUUUUGACAGUAGGAAUAUAUGGUGAGUGAGGGGGAAAAAAUGUAUUUGAUCCCCUGCUGAUUUUGUAUUUGCCCACUGACAAAGAAAUGAUCAGUCUAUAAUUUUAAUGGUAGGUUUAUUUGAACAGUGAGAAACAGAAUAACAACAUAUAAAUCCAGAAAAACGCAUGUCAAAAAUGUUAUGAAUUCAUUUGCAUUUUAAUGAGUGAAAUAAGUAUUCGACCCCUCUGCAAAACAUGACUUAGUACUUGGUGGCAAAACCCUUGUUGGCAAUCACAGAGGUCAGAUGUUUCUUGUAGUUGGCCACCAGGUUUGCACACAUCUCAGGAGGGAUUUUGCUGAUCUUUUGCAAAUCAUUAUGGUUUUGAGGCUGACGUUUAGCCACUGGAACCUUCAGCUCCCUCCACAGAUUUUCAAUGGGAUAAAGGUCUGGAGACUGGCUAGGCCACUCCAGGACCUUAAUGUGCUUCUUCUGUGAAGGAUUUCAGUCCUUCACGGCGUAGUGUUACCAAUUGUUUUCUUGGUGACUAUGGUCCCAGCUGCCUUGAGAUCAUUGAGGAGAUCCUCCUGUGUAGUUUUUGGGCCGAUUCCUCACCGUUCUCAUGAUCAUUGCCACCUCACGAGGUGAGAACUUGCAUGGAGCCCCAGACAGAGGGAGACUGACAGUUAUUUUGUUUUUCUUCCAUUUGCAAAAAAUCGCACCAAUUAUUCACCUUCUAACCAAGCUGCUUGGCGAUGGUCUUGUAACACAUUCCAGCCUUGUGUAGGUCUACAAUCUUGUCCCUGACAUCCUUGGACACCUCUUUGGUCUUGGCCAUGGUGGAGAGUUUGGAAUAUGAUUUAUUGCUUCUGUGGACAGGUGUCUUUUAUACAGGAGCACUCCCUAAUGUGCUCCUAAUCUCAGCUUGUUACCUGUAUAAAAGACACCUGGGAGCCAGAAAUCUUUCUGAUUGAGAGGGGAUCAAAUACUUAUUUCACUCAUUAAAAUGUAAAGGAAUUUAUACAAUUUUGGACAUGGGUUUUUCUGGAUGUUUUUGUUGUUAUUCUGUUUCUUACUGUUCAAAUAAACCUACCAUUAAAAUUAUAGACAGAUCAUUUCUUUGUCAGUGGGCAAACCUACAAAAUCAGCUGGGGAUCAAAUAUUUUUUCCCCUCACUGUAGCCUACUUUAUUUAGCCACUACUAGGUUGUAGAGAUGUACUUAAACACUUUAUACAGUAGGAAUAUACUUCACACAGGUAAACUGAGAAUAGAAAAUUACUUCAUAUAGCCAC